GGAGAGGCAACAUUUGAAUAUUUAAAAUUUGUCGGAAUGGAAAAAAUAAUUUGAAAAGGGGAGAACGAUUAGGAUUUUCGAACGGAGAAAACACACAUUUUUUCUCAGAAAAAAUUAAUUUCAUUAAGAAAAGUAAAUUUUUAAAAAGUUGCCAUUUGAUAUUAAAUUUUCGUCUGGUGAAUAAGAAUUCGUGAGGAAUAACGAAUAUUUGCUGGCCGUGGAAAAAAAAUCAAAUUCAAAAUUUAUUGAUUCCGGUCGGAACAAAAGGCGACCAUGGUUGACUAAGACAACAAAUUUUGAAUGCAAAAUUCGAAUAAACAAGAUUAUCAAUAACUCAUCUUUCAAGUCUAGAUGAUUUUGUUCGGAAAUUGCUUACAAUUUGGAAAAAUUUUAGUAUUUGAAUUUAACAUUGCGUGAAAACGGGAAAUUUGAUAUUAUUUGAUUAUAUACAAAACUAGCUGGCCCGCGUCCGCUCCUCUGUGCCUUGUUUUACUUUAUAUGGAACAAAAUUAUCCUUUGAAUAUCUAUUUUCGACAAAUAAAGAGUGAAAUACCAUGCUACUAAAAUAGUAUAUGCAUAUCGCUUAA